GAACACCUACGGGGCGCAGCAGUGGGGAAUAUUGCACAAUGGGGGAAACCCUGAUGCAGCGACGCCGCGUGAGCGAUGAAGUAUUUCGGUAUGUAAAGCUCUAUCAGCAGGGAAGAAAAUGACGGUACCUGACUAAGAAGCCCCGGCUAACUACGUGCCAGCAGCCGCGGUAAUACGUAGGGGGCAAGCGUUAUCCGGAUUUACUGGGUGUAAAGGGAGCGUAGACGGCGGUGCAAGCCAGAUGUGAAAGCCCGGGGCUCAACCUCGGGACUGCAUUUGG
rnacentral:rRNA from 1 species